rnacentral:rRNA from 1 species
CCUACGGGAGACAGCAGUGAGGAAUAUUGGUCAAUGGGCUUACGCCUGAACCAGCCAAGUCGCGUGAGGGAAGACUGCCCUAUGGGUUGUAAACCUCUUUUGUCAGGGAGCAAAGCAGGCUACGCGUAGCGGGACUGAGAGUACCUGAAGAAAAAGAAUCGGCUAACUCCGUGCAAGCAGCCGCGGUAUUACGGAGGAUGCGAGCUUUAUCCGGAUUUAGUGGGUUAAAGGGGUGCGUAGGCGGAAUGCCAAGUCAGCGGUAAAAUCGAGGGGCCCACCCUCUCUCCGCCGUUGAAACUGGCGUUCUUGAGUGGGCGAGAAGUAUGCGGAAUGCGUGGUGUAGCGGUGAAAUGCAUAGAUAUCACGCAGAACUCCGAUUGCGAAGGCAGCAUACCGGCGCCCAACUGACGCUGAAGCACGAAAGCGUGGGUAUCGAACAGGAUUAGAUACCCCAGUAGUC